rnacentral:rRNA from 1 species
GAGUUUGAUCCUGGCUCAGAACGAACGCUGGCGGCAGGCCUAACACAUGCAAGUCGAACGCUCCAGCAAUGGAGAGUGGCAGACGGGUGAGUAACGCGUGGGAACCUGCCCCGAGCUCUGGGACGAACCGCGGGAAACUGCGGCUAAUACCGGAUGAUGCCCUUUGGGGCCGAAAGCUGCGGCGGCUUGGGAGGGGCCCGCGUCCGAUUAGCUGGUUGGUGGGGUAACGGCCCACCAAGGCGGUGAUCGGUAGCUGGUCUGAGAGGACGAUCAGCCACACUGGGACUGAGACACGGCCCAGACUCCUACGGGAGGCAGCAGUGGGGAAUCUUGGACAAUGGGGGCAACCCUGAUCCAGCGACGCCGCGUGGGUGAUGAAGGCCUUCGGUUGU